GAUCUAUAAUUUGAGGAUAAUAUCUGCAUUAACUGUUUUGGAUAUGAUUAUAUGAGACAGUUUAUUUAAAAAUCUGACAGUGUACCUAGUAUAGAGUAAGGCUUCAACAAAUAUAGGUUCCCAAGUCUCUAACCCUAGAAGAUCAUUUGUUUUACAAUCAUCUAUCAAGGCGCUAAAAAGUUACAGUAUCUAUAUAUGCAAUUUCUGAAAUUUGAAUUAGAUUUUUAAUAUACUACCUAACUAAAAUGUCUUGAAACUUGAAAUAAGUGGUUAUUAUUUACAUUUCAGAUUUCUUAAAAACACAUGUGAGAUUCAAGAAAUGCCCACGUAGAAAACAAUAAACUAUUAGUGGAAAAGGAAAUUUGCAUAAAUAUCAGUCUUCUAAUAUUCUACGGGUAAUUACCAUCAUAGCUGAAUCAGUAAGGAGGAGAAAAGAAAGAAGGAAAAAUUGGAAAGAUAAAUGGGGUUUUCCAGUGAAGGUAAGACAGCAACGGUUGGAUUAAUUAAUGAUUAAUAACAAGCAAAAAUUAGUGAAAAUGGAGCAGCAUACCUAAUAUUACCUAGAUAUUUGUAUUUAAAUUUUAUUAUGCAUCAUGUUUCCUAUUUGAAAAUAAUGUUUUCAUAAUCAGCAAAACUACAAAACAAUUUAGAUGUAAGCAACAGUCUUCCUUGCCCUAAAAUUUCAUCUGGGAGUAGAUUCUAGAAUGUUUUAGGAAGACUUAAGGAUACAUUCCUAGCCAUUUUAAAAUUAAAAU
rnacentral:lncRNA from 1 species